rnacentral:rRNA from 1 species
UACGUAGGGUGCGAGCGUUAAUCGGAAUUACUGGGCGUAAAGUGUGCGCAGGCGGCCGAGCAAGUCGAGUGUGAAAGCCCCGAGCUUAACUUGGGAAUUGCGCUCGAAACUACUUGGCCGGAGUGUGGCAGAGGAAGGUGGAAUUCCAGGUGUAGCGGUGAAAUGCGUAGAGAUCUGGAGGAACACCGAUGGCGAAGGCAGCCUUCUGGGCCAACACUGACGCUCAUGCACGAAAGCGUGGGGAGCAAACAGG